UCAAAGUCUUUUGCUAAAAAGAAACCUUAUUCAGCCUCGGCAAUGGAAUAUUUCGGGAGCUUAAACAUCCGUAAAGUUCACCUCUUCACUCUCUCUCACACACACAUACUCCUUCAUAUGUACAACUCCAUCACACCAGCGAUUUGUUGCACACUCGCCAUGCCAGGAGCAGUUACUGAAAAACAUUUUUGAAGUCCAAGUAUAUAAUCUCUCUCUACUGGAUGCUUGUGGGCCCUCCCAGAGAACUCCAAAAGCCAUCCCCAGCUUGGUGCCCUCCAGAUGUGUUGUACAGACUUCACCAUCAGGAUUUUUUUCUUUAUAGGAAUACUUUCUUCUGGGACUAAUAGAUGAUCAGUUGAAAAAGAGCCCUUGAACUCUAUUUUUAUAGAUGAUAAUGGCAGCGAGAUCACUAUAGGCACAAAAAUGGAAAGGCUGUAUAUAUUGCCAACUACGGAUGAAUGUCUGUUGAAGAUGGUGGAGUUGGCAGAAAUGGCAAAACUUACAUCAAUAAUUAGAGAAAAAAUAACAUCUAGGUUUUUGUA